rnacentral:tRNA from 1 species
AGCAGCCGGGGGAGGCGGGGAGGGCGGGAGCCCGGGGUUGUGCCGCCCGGAUCGCCGAGCGCGUCCGCUGGGUGUGAGCGGCUUCCUGGGUCGAAGGGCAAAAGGGAAGUCGACUGACCCGGGUUCGCUCCGUCCGCGAGCUGCUCAGGACCCCCUCUGUCACCAGGGCCCCUUUGCCAAAGCCGUGUUGACCCACGCUUACUUCCCCCGCCCCAGGUGAGCUGAGCACCUACUGCGUGCCGGACUCUGCUGCGCCGCCAGUCGGGACGCAGAGGGCAGGACGCAAAGCCAGGCAAGUCCACAGCUCCGCACCAAUGCCACCCGACUGCGGGAGGGUGGAGGGUGAAGGGAGAAGGGCAAGCCCUGGACGUAGGCAGCGGUCUGGGGUGUGACUUUUUAAACCGCGGGCUUCACUAGAGGGCUUCCCCUAGGAGGCGGCAUUCACACUGUGGGAAGCUGGAGAGAAUGUGAAGGAUGCGUCUGAAUCCUCUAGUCGGCUUAUUGGCAUCCAAAAGCAUUCAGUGAUUGCUGAGUUCAUUCAGCAGAUGCAUGUUGAGCUUCUACUUUGCGCCAAGCAUUGGGCUAGCUCUGGGGAUACCUAAGAGAAUCCAAAAGCACUGCCCUGCCCUGGUGAUACUCCUAGUCAAAGAGUCCUAGAGUCCUGCAGGCACAAAACUUUGCAUCACUGGGGAAAAAAAUCCAGGACCUCCCUUUGCCCGGAAGGCCGUCGGAGCAAGGGCUAUACUUAAGGUGAAAGGUCCAGAUAAAAUUCUGGAGAGACACUGAGCAUCCAGAAGGGUCCCAAGGACAUCAAUCUUUCCACCCAUGGGCAGUGCUCAAGUGCCCUCUUUUCUGAAGUGUUUUUAUUUUUUCCUUUUGGAGAGCAGCUCAUCCUGCCUGUCAGUAGAGCAAGACUGACCUUGUGGCCCUCACCACCCCUGACUCCCCGACUCCCAACAGGCUAUGUCCUUCAUUUAGCAGAACUCUAAACACUACCUUCUCCCUUCUAAUGAGAAGGAGGCUCGGCUCUGACAGACCUGGAGCACCUGGGUAAGUGCCAUUCACAGAAGGGGAAGACCCUCAAUAGCUCACUUUUUUUUUUUCCAGACCACAUAUGGGAAGCAAGACCAGCAUCAGGAAGGUUCUAGAACUCACUUUACCACCUCCAGAAUUCUCUCUUCUCCAAAUUCAUUCUCAAGACUUCACCACUGCACAGAGGAGGAAUAUGCUGAGGUUCAGAGUGCUGGGGCCCAGCUUCAGAAUCAGAAAGGCAGGAGGCUCAGCCACCAUCCUGGCUGAGCAGAACCCCCAAGCAGGAGGGAUAAUCCCAUGAUAACAACAGGAAGGAGCAGCUGGGAUCCAAUAUUUUUUUUUAUUUAUGGUGCAUCUGAGGCCCAGAGAGAAGUGACAUGUCUGAGGUUAUACAACAGAGUUGGACCUAGAAUCCACUAUAUACUUUCUAUCCCACUUGUCAGCUUCCUCAGGGGCCAGAGACAGGAGUUAAGAUAGAAGCCCUCAGCCCUCAGUAUUAGUGCCUUCCUGCUGGGACACCAAGCGUAGCAUUGCAAUGGAAGUGUCUGGGGGCAUAUGCCACCAGGCUCAAGGGCAGGGGUUGUGAUAGGAGUGGGGUUGGACUGAAGGGCCUGGCUUGAAGGACUUGCUGAUGUGCACCCUGGAGUUCUGUUUUACUUACCCUUCUGGAAAGAGAACCUCCCUGUGCAUGUAUGAAGGCCAAGGUUAAAGAUAAGGAAGGCCUUGCUUAUUCCAUGGUAGGACAGGUCAGUAUGCUAGAGAAGGCCUCUUUGGGACUCCAUCAGGUAAGGUCAGCAUCUUGGCAAUACUAAGUUGUUCUUUUUGCCAUGUUUUUCAUUAAAGGGGUUUAGUUAGCAGGUGGGGGUGAGAUUGGUCACUUCACCCCUCCACCCCUAUCCUGCAUCAGCACUCAGGCAGUGAAGUGUGCCUCUUCCUCUCUGAGCUCAUUAAAAUCCUGUUAAUACAUCAUCCUUCCUAAUCUGACAAAUACUCAGUCCUGGCAAAUGGCCUUGCACCAGAUCUCUACCUCCUGUCCUCUGGGCCAGGUCCUGGGAGUCUAAUCUCUGAGGACUACUGGCUAACCCUUCUUCUCAAGGCAAGGGAUCUGUGCCUUGAGAGCCCCUUGCUGAGGUCAUUGAGAUCAUCCCAGGGCAGGUCAAGUGCCCAGCAAUGGAUUGGAUAAUAAUAGUGGUAAUGAUGGCAUAAUGCCUGACUUCUAUGGAGGCCCCUCCAUUCAUUCCCAGCCCUUUUGCUUGUAUCACAUCAAAAAUAGAGAAUCCCACUCUCACCCUGCCCCAGGCGGCAGGGGCUGUGCCUGGAUGUGCAGCCAAGUGCCAUCCCAUGCAUAGGUGGGGGCAUAAGUAUUUGGGUAGGAGCCUGUGUGAAGUGUCAAACCUUCCUGGCCCAGAGACCAGCAACAGGCACUUUCCAAAACAUUCAGAAAAACAACCCGCUGGCUCAGGGAGAAUCCAUAUGAAGUGUUUUGGAGGGAGGGAGGAGAAAGAGGGAGGCAGUAGAAGCCAAAGUAAGGGAGGGAGGAACAGGUGGAGCAAAGAGGAAGGAAAUAAAAAAAUGGCCUCUGAGAGAGGAUAGGGGUAGAGAGAGGAAAGGGAAGGAAGAAAGAAAUGGAGGAAAGGCAGAGGAAAGGGCGGGGAGACCUCUCUUUGUGGCCGUGUAGCUGGCCACUCAGAAAUCAUUAUAGAAAAAAAAAAAAAAAAGAAAGAAAUCAUUAUAGGCAGGAAAGGAAGGAAAUGUGUCUUGGCCGGGGAACUGGGGUGUGUGCCCAAAGGACACCACACCCAGCUGGCUGCUACCCCCUGCAUGUUCGCCAGGGCCCAGGCUGCUCUCCCUACAAAUGGAAGCUCUAGCCCUUCUCCUGGCUGUUUGGGCUUCAAGACCCAAUUCCCAGGGCCUCUCCAACCCUGCUCAAUCCCACCCAACCCUUCCUGUUUAUGAACUGAUACCAGCUUUGUCUUCCCCUGGGUCACAGGUUGUGUCUGGGUCCAGUCCCCACCCCACAGCCAGCUGAGGGACCACUAGGAACCACUGUGAGAAUCAGGAAGAAUGCUCCUUCCUCUGCACAGAUCCACUUCUGUGCAAGGCCACUCAAGAUUUGGAGGAGGAGGUGGGACUGGCCAUCAGCCCCCACUUCACCUCUGUCAACCCAACACUUGGGGACCAUGAUAUCACACUUCCAAAGUCCUUACCCCACGCGGGCCCCUAAUGUUUAAUGUGAGUUCCUUAUAGUCCCACAGAACCUCUCACUAAAUACUCACCCCAUUCGAAUACCUGGGUCUCUGUGCCUGGAAUCUCAUUUCCCUACUCUACCCAGUGAACAUCUAUUCAUCCUUCAGAACCCAACUAGAUGUGCCCUCCUCUGUGAAGCCCCUGCCUGUCCCCCACCCCCUGCAAAGCCAGUAGCACCACCUCAGAGCCUAAUCCUACCUGUUCCCCAGAGUUCAUGGGUUGGUCCCAGAAUCCUGCUACCUAGAACCCACUGUCCCACCCCAACCCCAAAGGCAGAAUACGCCAUCAAAUCCUGUAUGACUUGUCCCCUAACUUGCCAGCCCCUCUGGAACCCCACUGGGAUUCUCCCCUCCCACAACCUUACAGAUUUAAGGCAGAAUGGGAAACUGGAAAUCCAAGUAGCCCAGAAGCUCCCCACCCCCACUCUGCCCUCACAGGAGCUGGUCCUGACCGAAGAUUCCCAGCACAUCUGGUUGUACUUAAAUCAUCCAGCACUGGACUGGGCUGCCUGGGCAGGUUCCCGCUUCUCUCCCUCCUGCCCUUGACUCCUCCCCUUCCUAGCCCAGCCUGCCAGCUCUCUCCUCCAGGAGGCCUUCCCUGACUGGCCUAGCCUCUGUACCUACACCCUUGACUAUCUCUCUGGGUUGAGGGUCUAGAGGGUGCACGCUCAGCAAGGCUUGGUGUGUGGGCCCCCAUCCUGCCUAAGCACUGAUCCUGUAUAGAAACCAUCCCUCCAGACAGGGAGGGGAGCCAACCAAGUUCCUCCCCUCUGCUCCCUUAAUCUCUAGGGUGGUUGCCCUCAGCAUCUGGUGGUGUAGCAGGGAGGGAAUCGGUUCCUUCAGUGCCUUGGUUCAGAUAGACAGCCAGCAGAUCCUGCUGCCGUCAUUGUCCAAAAGUCUCAUAAAAUAUUACGAAAGGGGAAGAGCCUGACAUGGUGGUGUACACACCUCUAGCCGCAGCACCCAAGAGAUUCCUUCAGCCCAGGAGUUUGUGCUUCGUGGUCACCAUGGACAACAUAGGGAAAAAAAGAAAGAAAGAAAGGAGGUGGGGAGGGGUAAUAAAUGCAGAUAAUAUAGCAAGUACAAAAAGACAAGGCUGGCUGAGUACAGUGGUACAGGCCUGUAAUCUAGCAGCUUGGAAGGCUGAGGCGGGAGGAUCAAGAGUCCAAAGCCUCAGCAACUUAGUGAGGCUGUCUCUAAAUAAAAUACAAAAAAAGGGCUGGGGGUGUGGGUCAGUGGUUAAGCACCCUGAGUUCAAUCCCCAGUACACACACACACACACACACACACACCAAAAAAAAAUAGGUGACAAAGAAUGGGAUUGUGAGGUUAUGGAUCUACCAUGACAGGCCCCACCAGGGCUCCAUAUUCAAAUGUUCAGUCUUUCAUUCCAUAGCAUGUACUGAUGUCUAUGAGUAGUAAGUUAUAGGAAUAAAGACUUGAUUAACAAUGGGCUGGGGAUACAGCUCAGUUGGUAGAGUGCUUGCCUUGCAUGCACAAGGCCCUGGGUUCAAUCCCCAGUACCCCCCCCACACACACACACACAAAAGACUUGAUUAAUAAGACUCCAAUACUUCCUAGAGAAAUCGGGGAGUGGGGGGUGGGCAGUGAGAGGAGC